rnacentral:rRNA from 1 species
GAUGAACGCUGGCGGCGUGCUUAACACAUGCAAGUCGAACGGGAAACCUUUUAUUGAAGCUUCGGCAGAUUUAGCUGGUUUCUAGUGGCGGACGGGUGAGUAACGCGUGGGUAACCUGCCUUAUACAGGGGGAUAACAGUCAGAAAUGGCUGCCAAUACCGCAUAAGCGCACAGAGCUGCAUGGCUCAGUGUGAAAAACUCCGGUGGUAUAAGAUGGACCCGCGUUGGAUUAGCUGGUUGGUGGGGUAACGGCCCACCAAGGCGACGAUCCAUAGCCGGCCUGAGAGGGUGAACGGCCACAUUGGGACUGAGACACGGCCCAGACUCCUACGGGAAGCAGCAGUGGGGAAUAUUGCACAAUGGGGGAAACCCUGAUGCAGCGACGCCGCGUGAAGGAAGAAGUAUCUCGGUAUGUAAACUUCUAUCAGCAGGGAAGAUAAUGACGGUACCUGACUAAGAAGCCCCGGCUAACUACGUG